AAAUAGAACUUUGCAGAGAGAGUUAACAGGGCGUGAAACCGUUGAUUGGCAAACGAAUCGGAGCCACGAAGUCGUUUCGUUGUUUAGUCUGGUCUGGUUCAGCAAGUGCCGAGAGGCACUUGUGUACUCCAAGGCCGGGCCCAACUUUGUAAGCGUACACUGCAACCAGUUAGACGAUUAGCCAUGGGCACAGCAGUUAGAGUAGUAGUAGCGCGGUCGGGCCUCGUGCCCUUCUCGUGUUGCUGGCUUUGGGCAAGAGAACUAUGGCUAAAUACUGACUGGCAAAAUUAAAAUCGCUUCAUCGAAGCGUUUGAGACAAGGCAACUAACCGCAUGGGCGCCUACACAGUCGACUGUUAGGUCCAAGCUUGGCGUCUUUGAAUUCAGACUUGCGCGCUACCAGUGGGGCAACUCCUGGUGCGUGUACAGCUUCUGUCUAAUCGGGCGUCGACUUGAUUUGGCAUUGUUCGGGUGUGAAGCGAUUGGGUGUUCAUGUGAGAUAGCUCGCAAUUGAAUUGGCAGUGAGUAGGUCGGCUUUCCGAACGACCCGUCUUGAAACACGGACCAAGGAGUCUAGUUAGGCAUCGAGUCGAUCGGUCUUGAAUAGGCCAGAAUGAGCAUGUUAUCUCGACUGAAGGCGUAGAGAAACCGUGUGAUCGUGUGGCAACAACAGCCGCUGCGCGCAACAUGUGCCUGUUCGUAUAGCAAUGUGCAAUAUUGCUGGCGGAGCAAAGAGAUGCCUGAUUGGGACCCGAAAGAUGGUGAGCUUGGGCAAAUUGAAGCCAGAGGAAACUCUGGUGGAGGAUUGUAGCGAUUCUGACGUGCAAAUCGAUCGUCAGACCUGAGUAUAGGGGCGAAAGACUAAUCGAACCAUC
rnacentral:rRNA from 1 species